GUGACCCUGCUGUGAUGGGCGGGGCGGCAGGGGAGGAACCAGACUGCGAGCGGAGAAGCGAAAUUUGCGGCCUCGGAAUUGGCUAGAGCGCUAGAGCCCAGUCAGCCAUAAAGCUACGCGCUAGGCUCUUGGCCCUGACGUGAGGCGCGCAGAAAUGACGUAACGGGAAUAGUUUUCAACGUCUAUUUCAUUGUGUGUUUCAGAGGACCUCCUUUAAUCUUUGAUUUUGGUCCCUGUUUCUAAGAAAAGCAACUGAAAAGGUCAUAAUACCGCCCCUCAGAAGAAAGGAACAGCGCUAAGUAAUCGAGAGAAUGCCUCCUCUUGAAACAGAUGUAGAGAUGGAAACAAGAUAUAAGAAGGAUUGAGAAUUAUAUAAUACAGGAGCUUAAACACCUAUGCGCGAUGAUAAAGAGGGUAAUAUUAGAGCGCUUGGAAAAUACCAGGAAGUUGAGAGAGUUAACAGAAGGGUGCACGCUGGAUUGGCCACAAAGUCGAAUUACUGAAGUAAGUGCAAAACGACAAAUUGUCACAGAAUACAGAGAAAAGGGGAAAAGAAAUUAAGAUAAGAGGAGAAAAAGAGAGAUCUAGAGGGCCGGUCCAGGAGAUACAAUCUAUGCAUAAUAGGAAUACCUGAAACUGAGGACAGAGCAAGUGGAGCUGAAACAAUAAUUAAGGAUCUAAUUGAAAAAAUUUACCAGAAUUGAAGAACGAACUAGAUCUACGAAUGGAAAAGGCUCACAGGAUACCUUUAGAAUUUAAUGAAAAGAAAGCAACAUCUAGACGUAUCCGGGUGACGUUUUUGAAUUUCAAAGACAAAACAUUUUACAAGCAUCCAGUCAGAGAAAGCAGGUUACUUACAAAGGGGCAAAAGUCAGGCUAACCUCAGAUUUUUUUCCUGCAAUUCUAAAUGCCAGAAGACAGUGGAACAAUAUCUAGAGUGUUAAGGGAAAAUAAUUUUGAGCCAAGAAUUAUAUACUUUGCCAAGUUAUCAUUUCUUUACAAAGGAAACUGGAAGACAUUCUUAGAUAUACAGGGGUUAGGAAAGUAUAUCAACCAAGAAACUUCCCUGAAAAUUUUACUGGACGAUUUACUGCAGCUAACAGAGAAACUGAAUUAAAAUAAGAAUAGGGAGGCAAUUGUAUGAAAGAAUUAAUGGUAUGCAUUAAAACUAGUUAAGGAGCAUUAAAUUUAAAUUGUUAUGUAUAGGGCAUUAAAACUAAAUACAAAAAUAGAAACAUAAGCUGGGUAUAACAUUUCAGUUUACAUUUAAACUAGAAGGGCAUAACACAUGUUCAAUAUAUUGAACAAAUACUGUUUUAUUUUUAGCAUGUAGUAUUGUAGAUACAAAUGUGCAUGUUCUUAAGCUAAACCUAAGUAAAAGGGCUUUGUCACUAGAUUUGACAAAUAACAUUCUAAAUGUCAAUUCUGACAAAAUUGGAAAAGAGUACAGUUUUAUUUCCCUUAUUUUUAAGUAUAGCAGGAAAAAAAUAAAAAGUCUAUCCAUAACGUUACUACUGAUACUGUAAAGAAACUUCCAAUCACUGGUUUGGGAGGGGGUGGAUACAUCCUCAUUUUCUGUCCAUGACGCAUGGGGAAAAACAGUAGUUACUGCAUCAUAUAGUUUAUCUAAGUAAAUUUGACGUGGAAAUAAGUGUUAACUACAAAAAUAGAAUAUAUACAUUCCAAUAUUUGGAAAAGAAGUGGUAAAAAAAAAAACAUAGCAAAAGAAAAAUAGCAAAAAGACAUUAAAAUUAGCAAAAAGUAGAUUGACAGUACAGGUGACCUAUAAACUGGUUAAAUAGCCCUAUUACAAUUGAAAUUGGGUCAAAAAUCAAUCUCUAACCUGAGAAACAUUUGUAUUAAACAAAGGAUCAAAGAGUUUAAAGAUAAUGGAAACUAUAAAUUAUAGAAAUAGCAACAUUUUUAUUAAAAUCUAAACAUAAGACAUUUUUUGUAAAACAUACAAUAUAGGAUGUAAUAUUUAACAAACUAUAUGGUAAAUAAUAUGACAUUAAUAUAUAAAAUAUGUUCCAGAUCUUGAUGUGGGUGAUAGUUUUACUUAUGUACAUCGAUAUAUAUCUAUUUAAAAACAUGUACAUUUAAAUUGGUGCAUUUUAUGUAUUUAAAAUUUACUGAGUAAUCUUUCUGUAUGUAUUAUUAAAGAGAAUAUAGCAAAAAAAA